CCGAACAACCACGUAUAUAUACUAAGCUGUCAUCUUAUGCCUGGUGUUGCUAUCAGCUUAACCAAUCAAGCUCAACAUGUCUGCUAGCCACAAGACCAUUUUCAUGAGGAUACUUCUCAUCUCUUGCAUUCUGCUCCCCCUUGGGUUUCUAUCUCUUGCACCACCUCUACCGGCAGCUAGCUCGAGGAGCGCACGAACGUCUGGAUACAUUGUUAUCAGUGGUUGCAACAAUUACUGCAGCGUGGCCUGCUGCUACUGCAACAUCCGCAGGUUUCCACCUGUUUGUGAAAAGUGCUGUGAGUAAUACGAAGUCUUCACUUCCUCCAUCUUGGGAACAAGGCAGGAGAUACUUCCGGUGUGCUGUCUCGGCAUGAUUUUGUAGUAAAUACAUCAGAAAGUCUGAGUUUCAACUACAUGGAAACGCCUGAAAACCCUUAAGUUUCAGUUGUGCUGUAUAUUACUUUUCCGAUAACACAUUAUGUUUGUUACUUUGAAGCAACAUGAUCUGAUUCUGGCAA